rnacentral:rRNA from 2 species
UCUCUUAAAAUUAUAGGGGGGGGGCCCGCACAAGCGGUGGAGAAUGUGGAUCAGUCUUGAAGCAACGCGAAAAACCUUACCAGGUCUUGACAUCCUCUGACACCCCUAGAGAUAGGGCUUUCCCUUCGGGGACAGAGUGACAGGUGGUGCAUGGUUGUCGUCAGCUCGGGUCGGGAGAUGUUGGGUUAAGUCCCGCAACGAGCGCAACCCUUGAUCUUAGUUGCCAGCAUUUCUUUGGGCACUCUAAGGGGACUGCCGGUGACAAACCGGAGGAAGGGGGGGAUGACGUCAAAUCAUCAUGCCCCUUAUGACCUGGGCUACACACGUGCUACAAUGGACAGAACAAAGGGCUGCGAGACCGCAAGGUUUAGCCAAUCCCACAAAUCUGUUCUCAGUUCGGAUCGCAGUCUGCAACUCGACUGCGUGAAGCUGGAAUCGCUAGUAAUCGCGGAUCAGCAUGCCGCGGUGAAUACGUUUCCGGCCCUUGGACACACCGCCCCGAGAAAA